rnacentral:sRNA from 1 species
GGAUCCACCGUCCUGCUGAUCUUAUUUUUUUCCUU